GCGAUCAUGGUGGAAUUGGUAGACACGCUAUCUUGAGGGGGUAGUGCCGCUACGGUGUGCGAGUUCGAGUCUCGCUGAUCGCACCA
rnacentral:tRNA from 28 species